AAAAUGUGUUGGUCUUUUAGGUCUUUUGUAAUUAAAUCUGGAUGUACCUCAAAAGAACAUUAAGACUGUGGUGAUAGGUGCUUUCUGC
rfam:Pteropus vampyrus cont1.135828, whole genome shotgun sequence.